rnacentral:sRNA from 1 species
UGCAGGGCGGGAGAUGGAGCAGCCCUGCCCAGCACCGUGGCCGCCAGCUUUGUGGCAGGUGCCGUGGAGCCCCACAAGGCCGCUGCCCUAGAGCGCCUGCUCUGGAGGGCCUGCCGCGGCUUCCUCAUCGCCAGCUUCAGGGAGCUGGAGCAGCCGCUGGAGCACCCCGUAACGGUGAGCAGCUGGCACUGGGCUGGGGGGUCCUGGGCAGAGCGGGACCCCGGAGUCAACUGAGCCUGCUCUGCAGGGCGAGCCAGCCACGUGGAUGACCUUCCUCAUCUCCUACUGGGGCGAGCAGAUCGGACAGAAGAUCCGCAAGAUCACGGACUGCUUCCACUGCCACGUCUUCCCGUUUCUGGAGCAGGAGGAGGCCCGCCACGGGGCCCUGCAGCAGCUGCAGCAGCAGAGUCAGGAGCUGCAGGAGGUCCUCGGGGAGACGGAGCGGUUCCUGAUCCAGGUGCUGGGCCGGGUGCUGCAGCUGCUGCCACCGGGACAGGUGCAGGUCCACAAGAUGAAGGCCGUGUACCU